rnacentral:lncRNA from 1 species
ACUCGGCUAAAAUUCGGCUUGAAAUUAAUUUUGAACCUAAAUUUAAGCUCAAGGAUUGAAAUUAAUUCGAACCGAGCUCGAGCGAGCCUAAUUUCGAGUCGAGCGAGCUCGAGCCCUAAAUGAGCCGCUUGAAACUCUCAAUAUUAUACAAUCAAUAGUUUAAUUUGUAUAAAACAUUAUCUAUAAUUUGAUACAAAAAUAUAUCUAAUAGUUCAAAGUAUAAAAUAAUUAUAUAAAAUAUAGUAUUAUAAUAUGAAGAAAAAUAAUUUAUGAGUUGAAUAUCUAAUCUUUUCAGCCUCACAUGUCUUCUCUUCCGCCUUCAAUCUCCAUAUUAUUCAUUUUCAUUUAUGCCGUCAAAAAUAAAUAAAUUAUAUAGAUAAAUAUUGGAUUAAACUAUCCAAUCAUAUAUAACUAAAAUUAAAAUUUUAUAUGAAUAAUAAUUUUUUAUUUUAAAAAUAUUCUGUAUAUUUUCUCAAGCAUACAAUUAAUAGCAAGGUAGGUAAUGGCGAGCAUAUGCUGUUACUUGGUAACUUUGAGGGCUUCCGGCUUGACUACUUAGGGUAAGAGACAGAAAAAGAAAAAGAGAUAAACAUAUUGAAAAUUUAGAGCUAUGUGAAAGAAAGAAAGAAAGAAAGGAAAAAUGUAUAAAUUUAGUGAAAUUUUGCUCUUUUAUUUGCCUAUUGAUUUGUUUUUUAUGGGCCAACAACAUUCGCCCAAUUUUGACUAAACAGAAAUUAUUCACUAAGCCUAUAAAUAUUAAAAUAUAUUAUAUUUAUAUAUUUUUUAAUAUAUAUAUAUAGUGUAGAACUACUAUGCUAUCGAAAAUAUAGUGGAUUUGAUAUUUUCGAAUUUUUGACCUUUUCAUUAAAAUUGUAUGACUGGGAUGAUUGCG